UACGAAGGGGCUAGCGUUGCUCGGAAUCACUGGGCGUAAAGCGCACGUAGGCGGCUUCUUAAGUCAGGGGUGAAAUCCUGGAGCUCAACUCCAGAACUGCCUUUGAUACUGGGAGGCUCGAGUCCGGGAGAGGUGAGUGGAACUGCGAGUGUAGAGGUGAAAUUCGUAGAUAUUCGCAAGAACACCAGUGGCGAAGGCGGCUCACUGGCCCGGUACUGACGCUGAGGUGCGAAAGCGUGGGGAGCAAACAGG
rnacentral:rRNA from 1 species